rnacentral:rRNA from 1 species
GAUCCUGGCUCAGGAUGAACGCUAGCUACAGGCUUAACACAUGCAAGUCGAGGGGUAGCAGGGUAGCAAUACCGCUGACGACCGGCGCACGGGUGAGUAACACGUAUCCAACCUUCCCAUAACUCAGGGAUAGCCUUUCGAAAGAAAGAUUAAUACCUGAUAGUACUUUUUCAAGGCAUCUUGAGAAAGUUAAAGAUUUAUUGGUUAUGGAUGGGGAUGCGUUCCAUUAGAUAGUUGGUGAGGUAACGGCUCACCAAGUCUUCGAUGGAUAGGGGUUCUGAGAGGAAGGUCCCCCACAUUGGUACUGAGACACGGACCAAACUCCUACGGGAGGCAGCAGUGAGGAAUAUUGGUCAAUGGGCGAGAGCCUGAACCAGCCAAGUAGCGUGAAGGAUGAAGGUCCUAUGGAUUGUAAACUUCUUUUAUAGUAGAAUAAAGUGAUCCACGUGUGGAUUUUUGUAUGUAUACUAUGAAUAAGGAUCGGCUAACUCCGUGCCAGCCGCAGC